rnacentral:lncRNA from 1 species
AGGAAUUGGAAGGAGCCCAAGCAGGAGAAUAUUUGUCACACAGAUAUUUAAAUGGAAUCAGGGCUGUAUAUAACCAUGACAUAAUACUUUGUCAAAAAGUGAAAAGUUAAUCUGGUUGAGUCACAUGACUUAAAUUCAAAAGAAGGUAUUUUUACCUGGCAUAUGGAGAAGAUGAUGACAAUAAUGUGGAACUUGAUUAGACAUCAACAGAGACUCAAUGCCUCCUGGAAAACACCUGAGAAAUGAUUGAAGCUCGCUCUGGUCUUGCCUGGAAUCAUGCAUAACAUUUGUUGCUGCCUGCAUGUGGAUUCAUUUUAGCAGUUUAUCAAUUUGGACAGGGAAUUUUGAAUAAAAAAUUUUGGCAGUCAUUAUAGUGACUCUUCUGAGACUGAAAAUUCAGGUAACAAGGAAAAUCAGUGACUCUUUCUCUCUGCUUUCUUCAAAACACAAAUAAUCCAAUGAUGUAUAGGCUGCAUUGCCCUUUGAUUUGUUACCUUAGAGAUCAUUACAUGUUAGUACAUAAAGAAACUUCCCAAUCUUCUUUUAUAGCAUCCAGGUACUCCAAUGUGUAAUUCAGCCAUAACUUAAUAAAAUGGAC